GACAAUCAAUUGCGAAUAUUUUAUUGAAGCUAACUCAACAGAAAGUCGUGAGUUUUAUUUAGAAUAACUCAACAAAAAGUUGUGAGUUUUAUAUAGACAUUAGGGUUUACAAGGUGCUGGUAGUGGGAUCUCUGUCGGCGGUCCGUCAUCUCUGCAUAUACAAUCGCAGUGCUUAUCUGAAGGAUCAAUGCCACAAAAUCCACCCUGUUUUCGGCCUACAGUAUUGAUGCACAUCGCAUUGCAAUCUUUAUAGGUUGCGCAUGGUCCCCAUAUAGAAUAGUGUGGAUAUAAUUGUGCAGACUCAUAUCCUGCAAAUACGAAAUAUAUAUUAUUUACACAGCAUUACUAUUAUGUGAUAAGUAAAUGUGGUACAUGUAGAAUUUGUAUUGCAAAGUUUAUUUAUAUGCCAUCACUAGAACAUAUUUAUUAUGGCAAGUACACAAUUCAAACAAAGGAUAAAAUACCUGAACUCAUCAGAAGAAUCAAAGCAGUGCAGAAAAGUCCCACGACAAGGAGUCUUGCUAGACCUACAAAGUUGAUGGAAGCCAUUCUUUCAAAGAUGUUGUUCUUCGUUUGCUCUAGUCUUGUGUAACGAAUGAUCGAAUGAUACUUGGAGAAUGUCUGUUUAUAUACACUGCAAGCCUAUUGUACAUUGAAUCAGAUCGGAAUCUUUGUGAUGAAAAUUUAUUUACAUAUUUAUUUGAGGAUUUAUUUACAUAUUUAUCUGUAAUUCUAACCGUUAGAGAAGUAAUGAGGCCAAUGAUAGUAUUGGUAAGUGAUGCGUUUUUAAGAAGGAGAUACAUAUUUUCAAGUGUAACCGCUCUAAUAAGAUAUAAAAUGUAUUUUAAUUCAUCGAAAUGAAAAGUUAUUAUUCUGUAACAUUUCUAUGAUUUGUGGAAAAUAGGAAUUAAAAGAUUAAUUCUAGAAAUAGAAAGGAAAAAUGAUUUUAUUUCCAUUUUCUCAGUAUUAUAUUAUUGGCAUGUUAGGGACAGCAUUUUAGAAAACAUAAAUCAUAGUUCAAGUAUUAGCACAUGUACUGCUGUGACGAUGCUCUUGUAUGAUAAUGAUUGUCAGAUUGAUGCAGUUUUUUCUCCCAACCAACACUAGUAGGAAAAACUACUUGCGCCACAAAGCAAAUUCCGUCACACAAUGACUCCUCGCGCAACGAUGAACAUACCUUCAUUGUGCAAGGGUAGUGAACGUUGCAUGUCAGAGAACUUGGUCGCGCAAAAACCUUUUGCACGACGAAAAAAACAUGUUCGUCGCGCAAAGCCAACAAGAAGGCUUGAAAACUAACGCGCAACGAAGAUUUUCUUGCUGUAUCUUUCCUCGACAAAGUCUUCGUCGCACAAAGCUUGUUCAUUUUCUAGGAUAGAACAUUCAACACUUGGGAAACCGAGGAACACUUGCGCGGCAAAGGUUUCGUCGCGCAAGUUACAAUCAGUUUUCAGUCGGAGCAUUUAGUGCAUGUGAAUCAACAGAAUCUGCAAUGUAUUUAGUGAGGUCAUUGUGCGACAAAGCCUUCGUCGCACAAAGGCCCUAGCCUUCCAAUAAAUAUGUGCUUCUUCUCUCCUUCUUCUUCACAAUUCUGCUCUCCUUAUUCUUCACAAUUCUGUUCAUUCUGAGAUGGAGGAUAAAAACAAUGAUCAUAGCGUGACCGACGCUGACCCGAAUGAUUUGAGGCAGCAUUUUCAGUUCGCGCAUGCGAUUGCUGUAGCUAUGGGGAACAAUUGUCCUACUGUUGAGUGGCAUUCUUGGAAAGAUGUGCCGGAGAAUGCGAAGAAGGCGGUGAUGGAUGAAUUAUUAGUAAGUAUACUGUUGAUGGAUCAAUAAUUAAUUUUGUGAAAUUUUUUGUUAUAUGUUAGAAUUAAUUAUUUGCAUAUAUGUGUAACAGUGUAAGUAUACUCUUGAUGAUGACAUGAACGAACAGUUGAUGAAGUUGAUGGAGGAUGCGUUGGAGGGAGGUUACAAUAGGUGGCGUUAUGAAGUCCAGGGAAUAGAGGACCAUCGAAAUAGUAGUUUUAAAUUUAUGUUUUGUAUGACAAUAUUUAAAUUUAAGGUACUUUUUAUAAGUUAUGUAUUUGGACUUAAUUAUGUUUUAAUUCAUGUUUGGUUAUUUAAAUAAUUGAAUGGAGUAUAAUAUCAAUUUAUUUAAGGUAUUAUUUGAAUGGAAUAUAGUACCAAUUUAUUUAAGGUAUUAAUUGAAUGAAAUAUAAUAUAAUUUAUUUAAGGUAUUAAUUAUUUAGUGUAUUAAGUGAAUGGAAUAUAAUAUCAAUUUAUUUAAGGUAUUAAUUAUUUAAUGUAUUAAUUGAAUGGAAUAUAAUAUCAAUUUAUU
rnacentral:lncRNA from 1 species